UACGAAGGGAGCUAGCGUUGUUCGGAAUCACUGGGCGUAAAGCGCACGUAGGCGGAUGUGUCAGUCAGGGGUGAAAUCCCGGAGCUCAACUUCGGAACUGCCUUUGAUACAGCACGUCUUGAGUCCGGAAGAGGUGGGUGGAAUUCCUAGUGUAGAGGUGAAAUUCGUAGAUAUUAGGAAGAACACCGGUGGCGAAGGCGGCCCACUGGUCCGGUACUGACGCUGAGGUGCGAAAGCGUGGGGAGCAAACAGGAUUGAGAAA
rnacentral:rRNA from 1 species